rnacentral:rRNA from 2 species
AGUGUGAAACUCAAAGGAAUUGACGGGGGCCCGCACGAGCGGUGGAGUAUGUGGUUUAAUUUCGAUGCAACGCGAAGAACCUUACCAGGAUUUGACAUCCUGCGAACCUCUUAGAAAUUUGAGGGUGCCUUCGGGAACGCAGUGACAGGUGGUGCAUGGCUGUCGUCAGCUCGUGUCGUGAGAUGUUGGGUUAAGUCCCGCAACGAGCGCAACCCACGUUUUUAGUUGCCAGCAUUUAGUUGGGCACUCUAGAAAGACCGCCGGUGAUAAACCGGAGGAAGGUGUGGAUGACGUCAAGUCAUCAUGCCCCUUACAUCCUGGGCUACACACGUACUACAAUGCUACGGACAAAGGGCAGCAAACUCGCGAGGGCAAGCAAAUCCCAUAAACCGUGGCUCAGUUCAGAUCGUAGGCUGCAACUCGCCUACGUGAAGCAGGAAUCGCUAGUAAUCGCAGGUCAGCAUACUGCGGUGAAUACGUUCCCGGGCCUUGUACACACCGCCCGUCACACCAUGGAAGUUGGCCACGCCCGAAGUCGUUACUCCAACCCUUGUGGAGGAGGACGCCGAAGGUGGGGCUGAUGACUGGGGUGAAGUCGUAACAAGGUAACC